AUGGUGCAGCAGGCUUGGCAGGCAGCGGGCGCGGCGGUCAAGGCCAAGGGCACGUCGAGCGACGAUGACCUCAUCCGCCACCAACAACGAGAUACAAGUCCGCUUGCAAUUUUUGGGAGAAUAAACAGUUCCUUUGGGUUCAUCGCUCGGUUUUGUCCCUGCUAUGCUUACUGCUCCUACAUGGCUCUUCAGGGUUAUGGAUGGAGUGCGUUAUUUCAACGGUCCUCUAUUUUUUUUUGUUGCGUGUGCCUUCAGGUCCAUCAGAUUUUGCCUAUUCUCUGA
rnacentral:rRNA from 1 species